CAGGAAAGUCCCACCAUAGAAAAGCCAUGCAGCGAAGCUGAAGAAGUCCACAAGAGUUGUAAAACUGCUUGUUUCUGGGAUCAACAUGAUGACUGAGACAAGAGUCUGUGAAAAAGAGGUUGGCAAAGUGGAAUGAAAAAGACAAAGUAUAAGCAAAGGAAACAAACUUACAGUGAAGAGAAGUGAUGGAAGUGGCGUAAACCGUUUGACGUGGAUCAUGGCUAGCAGCGAAGGCAUGAGGUUGUCGCGUGCCGCAACAUACAACAACCUACAAAACAACCAAAAAUACAAAAUGAUUUAAAACAAGAGGGGCCAGUACACAGCUCUUAUUUGAUUGGGCAAAUGAACAAUAUCCGCACCUCGACACAAAGAACGAGAAGAA